AUUCUGCUCCACGAAGGUCAUCUCCUCUGCCAGCUUCCUCUGAUCCAGGGAGACCCUCUGCUUCUCUCUGAUUGGUUCCCGCUUUCUACAGGAGGUCCAGUGCAGCUGAAUGGUGAUGAUGGUGCAAAUCAGUAACACUGACACUGUCUCCAUCCACACCCGUCACCUCCUGUUUGUCCACUGACAGCCCUGGAGGACUUCAACACACACAUGAGGCCCUGGAACUGGCUUUGGAGAGAGAAAUUGUGGGCACCGAGGUGGCGGGGAACGAGGCGGGAG